rnacentral:rRNA from 1 species
AACGAACGCUGGCGGCAUGCCUAACACAUGCAAGUCGAACGAGACCUUCGGGUCUAGUGGCCCACGGGUGCGUAACGCGUGGGAACCUGCCUUUAGGUUCGGAAUAACUCAGAGAAAUUUGUGCUAAUACCGGAUGAUAUCUUCGGACCAAAAAUUUAUCGCCUUUCGAUGGUCCCGCGUUGGAUUAGCUAGUUGGUGGGGUAAAGGCCUACCAAGGCGACGAUCCAUAGCUGGUUUGAGAGGAUGAUCAGCCACACUGGGAGUGAGACACGGCCCAGACUCCUACGGGAGGCAGCAGUGGGGAAUAGUGGACAAUGGGCGAAAGCCUGAUCCAGCAAUGCCGCGUGAGCGAUGAAGGCCUUAGGGUUGUAAAGCUCUUUUAACCGAGAUGAUAAUGACAGUAUCGGGACAAUAAGCCACGGCUAACUCCGUG